rnacentral:rRNA from 1 species
CCUACGGGAGGCAGCAGUGGGGAAUUUUGGACAAUGGGCGCAAGCCUGAUCCAGCAAUGCCGCGUGCAGGAUGAAGGCCUUCGGGUUGUAAACUGCUUUUGUACGGAACGAAAAGGCUCUUUUUAAUAAAGAGGGCUCAUGACGGUACCGUAAGAAUAAGCACCGGCUAACUACGUGCCAGCAGCCGCGGUAAUACGUAGGGUGCGAGCGUUAAUCGGAAUUACUGGGCGUAAAGCGUGCGCAGGCGGUUUUGUAAGACAGAUGUGAAAUCCCCGGGCUCAACCUGGGACCUGCAUUUGUGACUGCAAGGCUAGAGUACGGUAGAGGGGGAUGGAAUUCCGCGUGUAGCAGUGAAAUGCGUAGAUAUGCGGAGGAACACCGAUGGCGAAGGCAAUCCCCUGGACCUGUACUGACGCUCAUGCACGAAAGCGUGGGGAGCAAACAGGAUUAGAUACCCUGGUAGUC